CUAGCCACAUAUCCCUCCUCCUCCUCUUGCGCAGCUGCGGCUGCCCUCCCUCUGCGCUGCGGCGCUGCCUCUCCACUCCCCACCGAUGUCGCCCCACCGUCCCAGUCCCCUGUGACCGUCCGGCCGCCAGCAGAAGUAACUGCAGCUCCAUGGCCGCACCUAUAGGGCGGUGCCUACACUAGUGGCAGUCGGAGCCCGGCCGUCAUCCGCCUCCCGCCGGCCGUUUUUUUCUUUUUCUCUAUUUUCUUAGUGUUUUUCGGUGAUUUUUCGUUCGUCGCUUUUGAUUGCGAUUUGGGGUAGAUUUCUGGGGGCAAAUCGGUGCUAGGACAUUUGUGAUGGAGUCUAGGAUGAUCCAUUAGUAAAUUCCUCAUUUGAACACACGGAUUUGAUGAUUCCCCAAAAUUUCCCCCUUUUCUAGGGUUCCACGAAUUUCUAAAAUUGGUGACGAGUUCUCAAUCUUUUGAGGUUCCUCUGCUCGGAUCUAUUUGCUUAUGAUGUGGUGAGGUAGCGGUUUGAUUCUCUUGUUGAUUCGAGUUGUUCUAUUGGUAUUCCUGGAAUUCUUGUAGAGCUGGCCGCUGCUGUUCGUGCGGUGAGUCUUGCAUCGGGUCUCUGGCGUUGUAGAGCUUUUGCUGCUGGUCUCUUCUAGCAUUUAGAAGCCCUUUCGUCCGUAUUAUUGCAGCAGCAGCCGCCUCCUAGCUUCAGCUUGCAAGCUUUCUGUUCAGCGGCAGCAACUGUGCUCUUUCUUUGUUUUCAGGUCGUCAGACAGAAGCAGCUCGUAGCUACUGUUCAGAAAGACUAGCAGACAAAGACUCCGUGUUUGUGCAGGGAAGCAGUAGAGGCAGCAGGCCAAUAUUUUUACACUUGUUCAGCUCAGUGACAAUCAG